rnacentral:pre_miRNA from 1 species
UCAGGGGUAGGGGGGGAUCCCUCAGCUCAGAUUGUGAGAGGGUGCAGGCCAGGCCGAGGGACCCCACUGGUGCACG